GUGGGGAAUAUUGCGCAAUGGGGGGAACCCUGACGCAGCAACGCCGCGUGAAGGAUGAAGGUUUUCGGAUCGUAAACUUCUUUGAUGAGGGACGAAGAAAUGACGGUACCUCAAAAACAAGCCACGGCUAACUACGUGCCAGCAGCCGCGGUAAUACGUAGGUGGCGAGCGUUGUCCGGAAUUACUGGGUGUAAAGGGCGUGUAGGCGGGAGUGCAAGUCAGAUGUGAAAUACCGUGGCUUAACCACGGGGCUGCAUCUGAAACUGUGUUUCUUGAGUGUCGGAGAGGAAAGUGGAAUUCCCAGUGUAGCGGUGAAAUGCGUAGAUAUUGGGAGGAACACCAGUGGCGAAGGCGACUUUCUGGACGAUAACUGACGCUGAGGCGCGAAAGCGUGGGGAGCAAACAGG
rnacentral:rRNA from 1 species